rnacentral:rRNA from 1 species
GAACGAUGCUUUCGGGCAUAGUGGCGCACGGGUGCGUCACGCGUGGGAAUCUGCCCCUUGGUUCGGAAUAACAGUUAGAAAUGACUGCUAAUACCGGAUGACGACGUAAGUCCAAAGAUUUAUCGCCGAGGGAUGAGCCCGCGUAGGAUUAGCUAGUUGGUGUGGUAAAGGCGCACCAAGGCGACGAUCCUUAGCUGGUCUGAGAGGAUGAUCAGCCACACUGGGACUGAGACACGGCCCAGACUCCUACGGGAGGCAGCAGUGGGGAAUAUUGGACAAUGGGCGCAAGCCUGAUCCAGCAAUGCCGCGUGAGUGAUGAAGGCCUUAGGGUUGUAAAGCUCUUUUACCCGGGAUGAUAAUGACAGUACCGGGAGAAUAAGGCCCCGGCUAACUCCGUG